rnacentral:tRNA from 1 species
GCCUGGGUGGCUCAAUUGGUUAAGCGUCCGACUUCAGCUCAGGUUGUGAUCUCACGGUUCGUGAGUUCAAGCCUCACAUCAGGCC